AACAAGGUAAAAAAAUCUGAAAAAUAUUUAAACUAGAUCCCUAAAAAUAGUCUAACUAUUUUGACCCAAUCAAAUUCUUCUUAGAUUAGUGCCCAAAGAA